UCAAGGAUGAACUAUCCUAUUCAUGUCAAAAUUUGUAAAUCUCAAUACUAUACUGUAUAUCCCACGCUAAUAUGUGAAUAAAGGACGAAAAAAAGGUAGAUGACAAUUUACAAGGCCAAGGAAUAAAUAUACAAUACAAACAAAUGAAGGGGUGAUAUACGUUAGUACAUUAUCUAUGUAUAGCUAGAUAGUUAUAUAUCAAUAUCAAUACUACCUUAAAAGCACCAACUUAUCAAAACUUAACAUGAAAUUUCUAAAAUUUCCCCAGCUCAUUAAAUUAAAAUAAACGUAUAUAAAUUCUAAAAUUAACCCCAACCCAUGUACUCUUAUUAACCCUACGUACAUCUAUGCGCUUCAACCUCCCAAGAGGCACCAACGGAAUAGUUUUAGACAGCUCGAUUCGAUGAGCAGACAUUAAUAAUAACAACGUUACUCUUCUUAAAAGUAGAAACGCCAUGGCAGUACCCAGCGAUCUUCCAUCCUCUGUAUAAAGCUAUUAGGUAUACAUUGUUUCUCAAACACCAUAAUUUCAAGUCUUUACUAUUAUUCAUCUACUUCAAAGAUUUAAAUCCAAUGUUCUUUAUGUUUAGAUUUCUGUCAUUGUCCUUGUUUCAUCUAUCUCCUUCCCCUUUUAAAGCUGGACCAAAUCAUUGAUGUAAUUCUCCGCCAACAAAAUCAAGUUGCAAGUAACAUCCAAGCCUUUUCACCUGUCCGACACUCCUAAUCAAGUUUGUUUUGCACUAAUAUAAUCAAUAUGGGAUAUUACUGAAUGGAUUUUGUACAUUCAGAAUUGCACAGUGUUCAUGAUCAAAUUCACAGAUGAAGAGGUUAAACCUUAUCCAAGAGAUGUGAUCUUUUGUUUCAGUAACUUAGAAAAACUCAAUUGUUUUAUUUGCACUGCCCAUCGCCAUCUACGCUAUGGAAAAUGCUCUUUUCUGUUUCAAGUUUAAUAUGGACUCAAAAACAUCUUUUGAGUUUCUGAAUGUUUUGCCCAUUUUGUGUGUUUUGUAACUCAAAAGAUGUGCAUAUCAGCAUCUACCUUAGGUUAUAAAGCUUUGAUUUAU